rfam:Myotis davidii contig101168, whole genome shotgun sequence.
GGUGGUUCUCAGGUGACACACCCUGAAAUCAGGCUCCCUCCUUUCUAGUUUCGGGUGCAUCACCCGAGAACCACA